rnacentral:rRNA from 1 species
UACGUAGGGUGCGAGCGUUAAUCGGAAUUACUGGGCGUAAAGCGUGCGCAGGCCGCCCGCUAAGACAGGUGUGAAAUCCCCGGGCUUAACCUGGGAAUGGCGCUUGUGACUGACGGGCUCGAGUGUGGCAGAGGGAGGUGGAAUUCCACGUGUAGCAGUGAAAUGCGUAGAGAUGUGGAGGAACACCGAUGGCGAAGGCAGCCUCCUGGGCCAACACUGACGCUCAUGCACGAAAGCGUGGGGAGCAAACAGG